rnacentral:lncRNA from 1 species
AUGCACAGAAUGGCAAUGGUAAAUAUAUAAACAUUUUGUUAAAUGAGAAAGCAUUUGACAGCAUACUUCAUCCACAGGUAUAGUCUUGGAAAGAUAUUCUGAUCAUUUGGCAUUUAGCAACAUCUUAUUGAUCUCAUAAAAAAAUCUACCACAGCAUCAGGUGUGAGGUUGGGUGCAGUGAAAAAGAAAACCAAAACAUACAGUACUUCCAAUUUAAAACGGGUGUAAAUCAAUGAUGUGUCAUUGAUUCUUUUCAUCAAAGUCAUAGACUGGACAAUGAGACAACUGCUGAUACACCAAGAGGCAUUAAAUUGAACACCUUCAUCACUUUGGAAGACCUUGAUUUUGCUAACGACCUAGCAUUAAUGUCUCAUCCACAUCAACAUAUUCAGGAUAAUACCAUAGAACUACUCUAAUAUUCAGGAAAAUG